rnacentral:rRNA from 1 species
UACGGAGGGUGCAAGCGUUGUCCGGAUUUAUUGGGUUUAAAGGGUGCGUAGGCGGCCCAUUAAGUCAGCGGUGAAAGCCCGGGGCUCAACCCCGGAACCGCCGUUGAUACUGGUGGGCUUGAGUUCGGUGAAGGCGGGCGGAACUGGCGGUGUAGCGGUGAAAUGCUUAGAUACCGCCAAGAACCCCGAUUGCGUAGGCAGCUCGCUGUGCCGAAACUGACGCUGAGGCACGAAAGCGUGGGGAGCGAACAGG